rnacentral:rRNA from 1 species
UACGUAGGGUGCAAGCGUUGUCCGGAUUUAUUGGGUUUAAAGGGUGCGUAGGCGGCUUUUUAAGUCAGCGGUGAAAGACAACAGCUCAACUGUUGCAGUGCCAUUGAUACUGAAGAGCUUGAGUACAGAUGAGGUAGGCGGAAUUUAUGGUGUAGCGGUGAAAUGCAUAGAUACCAUAAAGAACACCUAUUGCGAAGGCAGCUUACUAAGCUGUAACUGACGCUGAGGCACGAAAGUGUGGGGAUCAAACAGG